rnacentral:rRNA from 1 species
UGGGGAAUUUUGGACAAUGUUCUCCCCCCUGAUCCAGCCAUGCCGCGUGAGUGAAGAAGGCCUUCGGGUUGUAAAGCUCUUUCGACGGGGAAGAUGAUGACGGUACCCGUAUAAGAAGCCCCGGCUAACUUCGUGCCAGCAGCCGCGGUAAUACGAAGGGGGCUAGCGUUGUUCGGAAUUACUGGGCGUAAAGCGCGCGUAGGCGGUGAUCUUUGUCAGAGGUGAAAGCCCGGGGCUCAACUCCGGAAUUGCCUUUGAAACGGGAUCGCUUGAGUCCGAGAGAGGAUGGCGGAAUUCCUAGUGUAGAGGUGAAAUUCGUAGAUAUUAGGAAGAACACCGGUGGCGAAGGCGGCCAUCUGGCUCGGUACUGACGCUCAGGCGCUAAAGCGUGGGGAGCAAACA